rnacentral:lncRNA from 1 species
GUGACAGAGCAAGACUCUGUCUCCAAAAGCAAACAAACAAACAAACAAAACUAUACUGGGCGUGCCUGCCUAUCAGACACCCAAUCUUGCAAGACCACCAUUAAAAGUCUCACUUUUGCUGUUCUCCGAGUCUCUGAAUCCAUUCUUUGGGUUUGGAAGGGUGAGUUUGUUUUUCACAAUCUGGUGGCCAUACGGGGAUCUCUGUGCCUGCAUGGAGAGGGGAGACGUGCCCCACUUGAUUUAUGUGGCCCGCUCUGUCUGGAUGUCCCGGCUCCCCACAGAAGCCACAGACAAACCGGAGACCAUGAUUCAGGAGAUAACAAAAGUGACACAGGAAGAAAAGCAGGCACCGCGGCAACCAGACAACCUCGUGCACGAACCACGGUGGGAAAAUGGGACUGUCACCACUUCCAGCCUGGCGACUUGGUGCUAAUUAAGACUUGGAAGGAAGACAAUCUCCACCCAAGCUGGGAAGGUUCCUAUCAAGUGCUCGUGAUCACUGAGACAGCCGUAGGAACAGCUGAACGGGGUGGACACUCACACUCGGGUCAAGAGACUGGUAAAAGAAACCCCAGAAGGAAGGGAAAAAGAAACUUUGCUCUGGUGGAGGAAACAAACAUGGACACAUUGUGAGAGUUCCAGGAAGUGGCCACUUGGAGGUGGUAUCAAAGUGCUGUGGGAAUCCACUUGGGAUUGCUGGAGGAGAAGCCAGUUGCCAUAUUGUGAGGAUGCUCAAGCAACCUUAUGAAGAGGUCUACAUGGUGAAGAACUAAGGCCUACUAUCAAAAACAAACACUAAUUUGCCAGACAUGUGAGUGAGUAUAUUGGAAGUGGAUCCUCCAACCUUCUAAGACUUGACAUGACUACAACCCCUGCCAACACCUUGAAUGAAACUUCAUAAGAGAACCUAAUCCAGAAUCACAUAGCUAAGCUAUUCCUGGAUUUCUGACCCAUAGAAACUAUGAGAUAAUUGCUUCUUGUUUCGAGUCACUAAAUUUGAGGGUAAUUGUUACAUAGCAACAGAUAACCAAUACAAUGAUAAGUGAAGAGUAAGGCCUGAGAAAUGACCGUUUAAUUUAAUAUGAAAGUCACUGACUACUUUGAAAAGAGCAGUUUCAGCAGAGCGAUGUGGGCAAAAGCCUAAUUAAAAUGUGCUCACAGAUAAUGAGAGAAGAGAAAGUGGAGACAGAUAACUGACCAUUCUUUCCAUAAGUUUUGCUGUAGGCCGGGCGCUGUGGCUCAUGCCUGUAAUCCCAGCACUUUGGGAG